rnacentral:rRNA from 1 species
UACGUAGGGUGCGAGCGUUGUCCGGAAUUAUUGGGCGUAAAGAGCUCGUAGGCGGUGUGUCACGUCGGCCGUGAAAACCUGGGGCUUAACUCUGGGCGUGCGGUCGAUACGGGCAUCACUAGAGUUCGGCAGGGGAGACUGGAAUUCCUGGUGUAGCGGUGAAAUGCGCAGAUAUCAGGAGGAACACCGGUGGCGAAGGUGGGUCUCUGGGCCGAUACUGACGCUGAGGAGCGAAAGCAUGGGUAGCGAACAGG